AGGAGUGCCUUGUUUCCGUCGCAUGUUGGACAGAAUAAUUUGGACUGCAGGUAGCAGAGAACCCCAAAUUGAAUGAUUUAAACAGUAGAAAAUGGAAUAUCUUGAAGUCUGGAGAUGGUGAUCCUAAGAUAAGAACUCUUCCCAAGAUGCUGUUUUUCUCUUCCUCUGUGGAUGCUUUGUGUUCCCAAGGCUUACUUAAACUAUCACACCACCACCAUGGCGAUCAGCGACGAACAGAAGCUGGUAAGCUAGGACCUACCUGGAACAACUUUAUGUAUGAAUUAUUCUGUACCUGGUUUAGUUGCGUUGGUAUGA